AUUGAACGCUGGCGGCAUGCCUUACACAUGCAAGUCGAACGGCAGCACGGGUGCUUGCACCUGGUGGCGAGUGGCGAACGGGUGAGUAAUACAUCGGAACGUACCUUAUCGUGGGGGACAACGCAGCGAAAGCUGUGCUAAUACCGCAUACGCCCUGAGGGGGGAAAGCGGGGGAUCGCAAGACCUCGCGCGAGUAGAGCGGCCGAUGCCUGAUUAGCUUGUUGGUGGGGUAAAAGCCCACCAAGGCGACGAUCAGUAGCUGGUCUGAGAGGACGAUCAGCCACACUGGGACUGAGACACGGCCCAGACUCCUACGGGAGGCAGCAGUGGGGAAUUUUGGACAAUGGGGGCAACCCUGAUCCAGCAAUGCCGCGUGAGUGAAGAAGGCCUUCGGGUUGUAAUGCUCUUUUGUCAGGGAAGAAACACCGGCUCUAACACAGUCCGGGAAUGACGGUACCUGAAGAAUAAGCACCGGCUAACUACGUGCCAGCCGCCGCAGUAA
rnacentral:rRNA from 1 species